GACGAACGCUGGCGGCGUGCUUAACACAUGCAAGUCGAGCGGUAAGGCCCUUUCGGGGGUACACGAGCGGCGAACGGGUUGAGUAACACGUGGGUGACCUGCCCUCAGCUCUGGGAUAAGCCUGGGAAACCGGGUCUAAUACUGGAUAUGACUCCAUGACGCAUGUUGUGGGGUGGAAAGCCUUGUGCGGCUGAGGAUGGGGCCCGCGGCCUAUCAGCUUGUUGGUGGGGUGANGGCCUACCAAGGCGACGACGGGUAGCCGGCCUGAGAGGGCGACCGGCCACACUGGGACUGAGGCACGGCCCAGACUCCGUACGGG
rnacentral:rRNA from 1 species